rnacentral:rRNA from 1 species
GCUUAGAAGCAGCCAUCCUUUAAAGAAAGCGUAACAGCUCACUGAUCAAGCGCCUCUGCGCGGAAAAUGUAUCGGGACUAAAGUUAUUCGCCGAAAUUGCGGACUCGAAAGAGUGGUAGCGGAGCGUUCCGUAAGCCUGUGAAGGUGAACCGUGAGGUUUGCUGGAGGUAUCGGAAGUGAGAAUGCUGACAUGAGUAGCGACAAACAGGGUGAGAGACCCUGUCGCCGAAAGUCCAAGGGUUCCUGCUUAAAGCUAAUCUGAGCAGGGUAAGCCGACCCCUAAGGCGAGGCCGAAAGGCGUAGUCGAUGGGAACCAGGUUAAUAUUCCUGGGCCAGGAGGAUGUGACGGAUCGAGACUGUUGUUCACCCUUAUCGGAUUGGGUGGGCCGCUGAUCGGUUCCUGGAAAUAGCCCUCCAUGAGAUCGUACCCUAAACCGACACAGGUGGACUGGUAGAGAAUACCAAGGCGCUUGAGAGAACUAUGUUGAAGGAACUCGGCAAAAUACCUCCGUAAGUUCGCGA